UGAAACUCGUUCUUCCUCUCUUUCGCUCCACCUUCCAUCAACAAAGCAUCUGCAACUUCACGCAACUUCAGCCAUCAUCUUCAUCACACUUUAAUUCCACAUCCUUCGCAUCAAUUAUCUUCACGCAUCUUCAUCGCUCCUACGUCAACAGCAUCACAACCACAUCAUCAUCUUCUUCACAUCAACACUGCAAAUCUGUUGUUUCACAUCUAUCUUCAUCGCACAAGCUUUCUCAUCCCCUACUUCAACAAUCAACACAUCAACUUUCAACCUUCAAACUGCUUCAAACAACAUCGUGUUUUCAACAUCAACAAUACCACAAUGAUAGUAAAUUUACAGAAGAAAUAGAAGAAGAGAAGAGGAACCUAAAAGCCAAACAUACCUCUUCUUCUCUCUUGAAUCAAUUCCGCCCUUUUUUCUUCUAUAAAUCCGCAACGGAGAUUGUGUAA